rnacentral:rRNA from 1 species
CGCCGCGGUAAUACCAGCUCCAAUAGCGUAUAUUUAAGUUGUUGCAGUUAAAAAGCUCGUAGUUGGAUUUCGGGUGGGUUCCAGCGGUCUGCCUCUGGUAUGUACUGCUGUGGCCUACCUUUCUGCCGGGGACGUGUUCCUGGGCUUCAUUGUCCGGGACUCGAAUUCGGCGAGGAUACUUUGAGUAAAACAGCGUGUUCAAAGCAAGCCUACGCUCUGAAUGCAUUAGCAUGGAAUAUCACGAUAGGACUCUGGCCUAUCUUGUUGGUCUGUAGGACCGGAGUAAUGAUUAAGAGGGACAGUCGGGGGCAUUCGUAUUUCAUUGUCAGAGGUGAAAUUCUUGGAUUUAUGAAAGACGAACUUCUGCGAAAGCAUUUGCCAAGGAUGUUUUCAUUAAUCAAGAACGAAAGUUGGGGGCUCGAAGACGAUUAGAUACCGUCGUAGUCUCAACCAUAAACGAUGCCGACUAGGGAUUGGCAGG